rnacentral:rRNA from 1 species
AUUGAACGCUGGCGGCAGGCCUAACGCAUGCAAGUCGAACGGUAGCACAGAGCGCUUGCUCUCGGGUGACGAGUGGCGGACGGGUGAGUAAUGUCUGGGAAACUGCCCGAUGGAGGGGGCUAACUACUGGAAACGGUAGCUAAUACCGCAUAACGUCGCAAGACCAAAGUGGGGGACCUUCGGGCCUCACACCAUCGGAUGUGCCUAGAUGGGAUUAACUAGUAGGUGGGGUAAUGGCUCACCUAGGCGACGAUCCCUAGCUGGUCUGAGAGGAUGACCAGCCACACUGGAACUGAGACACGGUCCAGACUCCUACGGGAGGCAGCAGUGGGGAAUAUUGCACAAUGGGCGCAAGCCUGAUGCAGCCAUGCCGCGUGUAUGAAGAAGGCCCUCGGGUUGUAAAGUACUUUCAGCGGGGAGGAAGGCGGUGAAGUUAAUAACUUCACCGAUUGACGUUACCCGCAGAAGAAGCACCGGCUAACUCCGUGCCAGCAGCCGCCGUAA